AUGCCUUCCUCCGGCUCCUCCCACCCAAACCUCAACCAACAGGUCACGGAGAAGCUUACCCGCACGAACUAUGUUCUAUGGCGCGCCAAGAUCGUGCCGCAGCUGCGGGGCGCCGGUGUCUUCGGCUAUGCCGACGGCACCACACCGGAGCCGGCCCGACUCCUCGUCACCAAGGACAAAGACGGGAAGGAGUCCUCGACGCCCAACCCUCUCCACCCAAUCUGGGUACGGGAGGACCAGCAGGUACUUGGUUAUCUGCUCAACAAUCUGUCCAAAGAGGUUCUCGUGCAGGUGACCGCGGUCACCAUGUCGCCCGCGCUCUGGGCUGCUCUGGCGGGCAUGUUUUCGUCGCAGUCCCUCGGCCGGGUGAAAAACAUCCGCACGGCCCUCAUCAACGCGCAGAAGGGGAACCAGUCCAUCGCCACCUACUUCGCCCACAUGCGCGGCCUCGCGGACGAACUCGCCGCGGCCGGCAAGCCUCUGCAAGAUGAUGAGCUUGUCUCCUACAUCCUCCAUGGGCUGGACAUGGACUACCAGCCCCUGGUGUCCGCCCUCGACGCCCGCAUCGUGCCUGUCUCCCUCGACGAGCUCUUCUCCAUGAUGAGCAACUUCGACCAGCGCGUUUCCAGUCCUCGGGCGGCUUCAAGUCGUCGGCCAACGCCGCCUUCCGCGGCCGCGGCGGCGGCUCCUCUCAUCAGCGCGGAUCACCUCGCAACAGGGGCAAGACCUCGGGCGGGGGACACGGCAACAGCAACUCCAGCACUCGCGGCGGCGGACGGCCCUCUUCUGGCAACAACAGGGGCCGUCGCGGUGGCUCCACCAGGUCACGGCCAGAUGCACCUCGCUGCCAGAUCUGUGGUAAGCUAG
rnacentral:rRNA from 1 species